CAUCAGAAGGAGCUAUUCAUCGCCGCCGAGGGAAUGUACACGGGCCAGUUCGUCUACUGCGGCCGCAAGGCCUCCCUCAUUGUCGGCAACGUCCUCCCCCUCCGCUCCAUCCCCGAGGGUGCCGUUGUCUGCAACGUCGAGCACCACGUCGGCGACCGCGGCGUCCUCGCCCGCGCCUCCGGCGACUACGCCAUUGUCAUCAGCCACAACCCCGACAACGGCACGACCAGGUCUCCACACUCUCCAACCAUCCCUUUUCUUCUUUAUUUAAUUGCUUCUGUUUUGAUGCUGGGUUUCUUGAUCUAGGUUUAAGGUUUUGGUUUUUGGUUCCGGAGGUGGCCGAUCUGGUCCCCUCUUUGGGUCCAAGAGGAUAGAUCCUUGAUUAGACAAAA
rnacentral:lncRNA from 1 species